rnacentral:rRNA from 1 species
UACGAAGGGGGCUAGCGUUGUUCGGAAUUACUGGGCGUAAAGGGCGCGUAGGCGGUGUGUCAAGUCAGGCGUGAAAGCCCUGGGCUCAACCUGGGAACUGCAGUGGAUACUGAGAAGCUAGAGUGUGUCAGAGGAUGGUGGAAUUCCCGGUGUAGCGGUGAAAUGCGUAGAGAUCGGGAGGAACAUCAGUGGCGAAGGCGGCCAUCUGGGACAACACUGACGCUGAGGCACGAAAGCGUGGGGAGCAAACAGG